GAUGAACGCUGGCGGCGUGCUUAACACAUGCAAGUCGAACGGGAAACCUUUUAUUGAAGCUUCGGCAGAUUUAGCUGGUUUCUAGUGGCGGACGGGUGAGUAACGCGUGGGUAACCUGCCCUAUACAGGGGGAUAACAACCAGAAAUGGUUGCUAAUACCGCAUAAGCGCACAGGGCCGCAUGGUCCGGUGUGAAAAACUCCGGUGGUAUAGGAUGGACCCGCGUUGGAUUAGCCAGUUGGCAGGGUAACGGCCUACCAACGCGACGAUCCAUAGCCGGCCUGAGAGGGUGAACGGCCACAUUGGGACUGAGACACGGCCCAGACUCCUACGGGAGGCAGCAGUGGGGAAUAUUGCACAAUGGGGGAAACCCUGAUGCAGCGACGCCGCGUGAAGGAAGAAGUAUCUCGGUAUGUAAACUUCUAUCAGCAGGGAAGAUAGUGACGGUACCUGACUAAGAAGCCCCGGCUAACUACGUG
rnacentral:rRNA from 1 species